GAAUAUUGGGCAAUGGACGAAAGUCUGACCCAGCCAUGCCGCGUGAAGGAUGAAGGCGUUCUGCGUUGUAAACUUCUUUUAUUAGGGAAGAAACCGCUGAUUUCUAUUGGCGUUGACGGUACCUAAGGAAUAAGCACCGGCUAACUCCGUGCCAGCAGCCGCGGUAAUACGGAGGGUGCAAGCGUUAUCCGGAUUUACUGGGUUUAAAGGGUGCGCAGGCGGGCUGUUAAGUCAGUGGUGAAAUCUCCGGGCUCAACCCGGAAACUGCCUCUGAUACUAUCAGUCUUGAAUACUGUUGAGGUGGGCGGAAUAGGUCAUGUAGCGGUGAAAUGCAUAGAUAUGACCUGGAACCCCAAUUGCGAAGGCAGCUCACUAAGCAGAAUAUUGACGCUCAUGCACGAAAGCGUGGGGAUCAAAC
rnacentral:rRNA from 1 species